GAAGGUGUGCUGUGAGGCAUGCUGGAGGUAUCAGAAGUGCGAAUGCUGACAUAAGUAACGAUAAAGCGGGUGAAAAGCCCGCUCGCCGGAAGACCAAGGGUUCCUGUCCAACGUUAAUCGGGGCAGGGUGAGUCGACCCCUAAGGCGAGGCCGAAAGGCGUAGUCGAUGGGAAACAGGUUAAUAUUCCUGUACUUGGUGUUACUGCGAAGGGGGGACGGAGAAGGCUAUGUUGGCCGGGCGACGGUUGUCCCGGUUUAAGCGUGUAGGCUGGUUUUCCAGGCAAAUCCGGAAAAUCAAGGCUGAGGCGUGAUGACGAGGCACUACGGUGCUGAAGCAACAAAUGCCCUGCUUCCAGGAAAAGCCUCUAAGCAUCAGGUAACAUCAAAUCGUACCCCAAACCGACACAGGUGGUCAGGUAGAGAAUACCAAGGCGCUUGAGAGAACUCGGGUGAAGGAACUAGGCAAAAUGGUGCCGUAACUUCGGGAGAAGGCACGCUGAUAUGUAGGUGAAGUCCCUUGCGGAUGGAGCUGAAAUCAGUCGAAGAUACCAGCUGGCUGCAACUGUUUAUUAAAAACACAGCACUGUGCAAACACGAAAGUGGACGUAUACGGUGUGACGCCUGCCCGGUGCCGGAAGGUUAAUUGAUGGGGUCAGCGCAAGCGAAGCUCUUGAUCGAAGCCCCGGUAAACGGCGGCCGUAACUAUAACGGUCCUAAGGUAGCGAAAUUCCUUGUCGGGUAAGUUCCGACCUGCACGAAUGGCGUAAUGAUGGCCAGGCUGUCUCCACCCGAGACUCAGUGAAAUUGAACUCGCUGUGAAGAUGCAGUGUACCCGCGGCAAGACGGAAAGACCCCGUGAACCUUUACUAUAGCUUGACACUGAACAUUGAGCCUUGAUGUGUAGGAUAGGUGGGAGGCUUUGAAGUGUGGACGCCAGUCUGCAUGGAGCCGACCUUGAAAUACCACCCUUUAAUGUUUGAUGUUCUAACGUUGGCCCCUAAUCGGGGUUGCGGACAGUGUCUGGUGGGUAGUUUGACUGGGGCGGUCUCCUCCUAAAGAGUAACGGAGGAGCACGAAGGUUGGCUAAUCCUGGUCGGACAUCAGGAGGUUAGUGCAAUGGCAUAAGCCAGCUUGACUGCGAGCGUGACGGCGCGAGCAGGUGCGAAAGCAGGUCAUAGUGAUCCGGUGGUUCUGAAUGGAAGGGCCAUCGCUCAACGGAUAAAAGGUACUCCGGGGAUAACAGGCUGAUACCGCCCAAGAGUUCAUAUCGACGGCGGUGUUUGGCACCUCGAUGUCGGCUCAUCACAUCCUGGGGCUGAAGUAGGUCCCAAGGGUAUGGCUGUUCGCCAUUUAAAGUGGUACGCGAGCUGGGUUUAGAACGUCGUGAGACAGUUCGGUCCCUAUCUGCCGUGGGCGCUGGAGAACUGAGGGGGGCUGCUCCUAGUACGAGAGGACCGGAGUGGACGCAUCACUGGUGUUCGGGUUGUCAUGCCAAUGGCACUGCCCGGUAGCUAAAUGCGGAAGAGAUAAGUGCUGAAAGCAUCUAAGCACGAAACUUGCCCCGAGAUGAGUUCUCCCUGACUCCUUGAGAGUCCUGAAGGAACGUUGAAGACGACGACGUUGAUAGGCCGGGUGUGUAAGCGCAGCGAUGCGUUGAGCUAACCGGUACUAAUGAACCGUGAGGCUUAACCUUACAACGCCGAAG
rnacentral:rRNA from 1 species